rnacentral:tRNA from 1 species
GGCCGGAUGGUCUAAGGGUAUGAUUCUCGGUUUGGGUGCGAGAGGUACCGGGUUCAAAUCCCGGUUCGGCCC